UACGGAGGGUGCAAGCGUUAUCCGGAUUCACUGGGUUUAAAGGGUGCGUAGAUGGGUUGGUAAGUCAGUGGUGAAAUACUUUCGCUUAACGAAGGAACUGCCAUUGAUACUACCAGUCUUGAAUACAGUGGAGGUAGGCGGAAUGCGUCAUGUAGCGGUGAAAUGCUUAGAUAUGACGCAGAACACCAAUUGCGAAGGCAGCUUGCUACACUGUUAUUGACACUGAGGCACGAAAGCGUGGGGAUCAAACAGG
rnacentral:rRNA from 1 species